rnacentral:rRNA from 1 species
CCUACGGGUGGCUGCAGUGGGGAAUAUUGGACAAUGGGCGAAAGCCUGAUCCAGCCAUCCCGCGUGUGUGAAGAAGGCCUUCGGGUUGUAAAGCACUUUCAGUGGGGAAGAAAGCCUUGGGGCUAAUACCCUCGAGGAAGGACAUCACCCACAGAAGAAGCACCGGCUAACUCCGUGCCAGCAGCCGCGGUAAUACGGAGGGUGCGAGCGUUAAUCGGAAUUACUGGGCGUAAAGCGCGCGUAGGCGGUCUGAUAAGCCGGUUGUGAAAGCCCCGGGCUCAACCUGGGAACGGCAUCCGGAACUGUCAGGCUAGAGUGCAGGAGAGGAAGGUAGAAUUCCCGGUGUAGCGGUGAAAUGCGUAGAGAUCGGGAGGAAUACCAGUGGCGAAGGCGGCCUUCUGGACUGACACUGACGCUGAGGUGCGAAAGCGUGGGUAGCAAACAGGAUUAGAUACCCGGGUAGUC